UACGUAGGUGGCAAGCGUUGUCCGGAUUUACUGGGCGUAAGGAGCGCGCAGGCGGUCGUUCAAGUCGCGUGUGAAAGCCCCCGGCUCAACUGGGGAGGGUCACGCGAUACUGAUCGACUCGAAGGCAGGAGAGGGUAGUGGAAUUCCCGGUGUAGUGGUGAAAUGCGUAGAUAUCGGGAGGAACACCAGUGGCGAAGGCGACUACCUGGCCUGUUCUUGACGCUGAGGCGCGAAAGCUAAGGGGAGCAAACGGGG
rnacentral:rRNA from 1 species